ACCCAGACUCCUACGGGAGGCAGCAGUGAGGAAUAUUGGUCAAUGGCCGAGAGGCUGAACCAGCCAAGUCGCGUGAGGGAUGACGGCCCUACGGGUUGUAAACCUCUUUUGUCGGGGAGCAAAGAGAGUCACGUGUGACUCAUUGAGAGUACCCGAAGAAAAAGCAUCGGCUAACUCCGUGCCAGCAGCCGCGGUAAUACGGAGGAUGCGAGCGUUAUCCGGAUUUACUGGGUGUAAAGGGAGCGUAGACGGCGUGCCAAGUCUGAUGUGAAAGGCCGGGGCUCAACCCCGGGACUGCAUUGGAAACUGGCAUGCUGGAGUGCCGGAGGGGCAAGCGGAAUUCCUAGUGUAGCGGUGAAAUGCGUAGAUAUUAGGAGGAACACCGGUGGCGAAGGCGGCCAACUGGGCUUUAACUGACGCUGAGGCUCGAAAGUGUGGGGAGCAAACAGGAUUAGAUACCCGCGUA
rnacentral:rRNA from 1 species